rnacentral:tmRNA from 1 species
GGGGAUGUCACGGAUUCGACAUGUUGACUGAGGCUUUAAUAGGCAGUAGGAUGAGCGCUUUAUAUGCUCAAUUGAGACUUAAUAAAUGCAAAGUCUAACCAAAACGAAGUAAAUGUUGAUCCAUUAUUCUUAAUGAACCAACAAAAUGCUUCACUUCAAUUAGCUAUCUAAAUUGUUGUAUUUUAUCCUUUUUGUUUUUUAGUAUUUUUAUAAACCGUUAAACAAACAAUAAAUAAUAUCAUCUAAUUGAAACUCUGCACAAGUGGGUUUUACUUGUGGUAAAUUAAGAAUUUCCUAGUUUCUUAAUCCCUACAUGGUUUACUAGGAAGGAUUUAGAUAAAUAAGGUGUUUAUGACGCAAUUAUUUAAAUUCUUUACGCAUUAAUGACCAUAAACUAAACUGUAGAAUAUUAAAUCUAAAGCAAUGUGGAAACGGGUUCAAUUCCCGUCAUCUCCACCA